rnacentral:rRNA from 1 species
CCCUUAGAUGUUCUGGGCUGCACGCGCGCUACACUGCUGCAAUUAACGGGUUUUCUGUGCCGAAAGGCUUGGGGAAUCCUUUGAAUAUGCGGCGUGAUGGGGAUAGAAUAUUGUAAUUAUUACUCUUCAACGAGGAAUUCCUAGUAAGCGCGGGUCAGCAGCCCGCGCUGAUUACGUCCCUGCCCUUUGUACACACCGCCCGUCGCUACUACCGAUUGAAUGAUUUAGUGAGGACUUCGGACUGGGACCGAUGCGGCUUUCGGGCUGCGUCGGUAUUCUGGAAAGAUGUCCAAACUGUNUNAUUUAUNGGAAGUAAAANUCGUANCA